GGGAUUGUAGCUUAGGGAUAAAGCUCUUGCCUGGCAAGCACAAAGCCCUGGGUUCAAUUCCCAGUACUGCAA
rnacentral:tRNA from 1 species